rnacentral:lncRNA from 1 species
UCAAAAUCUGCAACAUCAAUGUGUUCUUUGCAAGAUUUGAAGAAUGUAAAAAUAAGAUUGGCGUCAUUGCCAUCAACUUCUUUGUCUUCUUCUUCAGCUGCGUGAUGAGCCUUUUGCUCUCUUAUAUAUUUAUAUACUUUAUAUGGUGCAGCUAAUUUAGCACUUGCCUUGCAAUACUCAAAAUUGAUGCUCAUUAGAUCUAUGUCUAUAGCAUACCUCAUCUCCAAUAAUAAGCCAUGUCAUGGCUGUGAGGUUUUCUUGAUGUCAGUCACCCAUAGGUGAUAUAUCCAAUAUCAUUGGAUUCGAGAUUAGUAAAUUCUGGGCAUUUUUUCUUUUAUUUCUUUUGCCCCUUUUUUUUCGACAUCUUAAGAAACAAGAAGAAGAAUUAGUGUCGCACUCCCAAAGACUUCCUCGACAUCUAAUAUUUCCAAGAAAUUUGGAUUAGACCAAAACCAUGAUGUUUAAAAGGUCGUUCUGAGGCUCAUGAACUUUUUCAUAGCCAUAAUUCUCUUUUCGAUGCUCAUAGCAUAUGAAUCCCCACGAUUCAAUUAUUUCCCAAAAGUCCCACGCCAUAAGAGGGGUCGGGAUGUAGAAGAAGGGAAGUUGGAAAAUCCCCGAUAAAAACACAAUUCUCAGAAAGCAGGAACUUUGAUUUAAAGCUUACUUGGUAAAAUUUAAGCUUGAAAUUCUUAUACACGCAUGUGCCGAUGUAGACGUGUAUGUCUCUUGAGAAUUUUCGCGUGCUUAUCAUAAUUAAUUCGAGAUUUCAGAUGUUGCUUCGAUCUCCAACAAUCACCUUUUGCAAGACAAAGAAACUCUGCCUUCUUAACAUAAGAUAAAAUAUAUGAUUAGCACCUCGUUGAUAUAAGCAGGACUAUUAUAUGUGUGCAAUGAAAAUUUCACAUAAGAAGGCCACGAUAUCAUCAUAUAUAUAUUCCCUGCCACGGACUCACGAAUAAUUGAUAUAUAUAUAUGUGAUAUUUAUAUGUAAAUAUCGAUCUAGAAAACUUAGCUUUUUGUGUUCAGAGGCACAUCAACCCAAUUUCGAUCGUCUUUUGCCGAAGAAGAUCUAGGUCUGGAAUUGAUCAUCUUUGUAUGCCACGACGUCUAUAAUUCUUUUCAUUCCUCCACAUGUAUAUAUUGUCUUGGUAGAAAGGCCACACGUCAUGGCCUCCUGACAAUUGUGACUUGGUCGUGAGUCCCAAAGCUUCAUAAAACAAAAGCACCUCCACAUAAUAAACCUCUUUCUUCAAUUCGGCCAUUGAUGGUAAUAGAAGGGGUUAGCGCACAGAGAAACCAAUUUAUCGGCGGCCACUGUUUUGGUUUCUAGGUGACGGACGGCAGAAUUUUUUUUUUUCAGUUUCUAGGGUUACUCAGGGUUAGAGCAAAGUGUCUGAUAACGUGUUGCGGGAGAAAUAAACUAAGAGAGAGAAUUGGGAGAAUAUCGUUCUUAUUUCAUUCAUAGAAUAAAUACUCUAUAUAUAGAGGAUACAAUACAUAAGGAAAGUACAUAUAUUCCUAUUACAACAUUGAUAUCGAAUCCUAUUAUAAUUCUAUUUUGACUAAGGCACACACAAUAAAUCAUAUUUCCUUAAACAGAAAUAUAUAUAUAUAUAUAUAUAUAUAUAUAUAUAUAUAUGAUGACUUCUAGAGUAAUAGAAGUGUCCUUCAAACAAAGAAGAAUAAUAAAUUUGCAUCUAGAAUAUUCAAAUUUCAGAAUAGUCUUAACGAAUCAAAAUAGUGUGAGAAGGUUAAGCAUAUCAAAAUACUAUAAUAAAACAUUUGUUUUAGCUUAAAAAAUUAUAGUUAAAGCGUCAAGACCUCUCAAGUGCUAGCACUACAAAGGGCAAACUUGGAGCGCUAGACAGACUAAGCGGUCAUGUUUUAAAACACCAAUAUUUUCUCUCAUGUAGUGUGCAAUCCCAAUUCAUAAUUAAGCAUCGUUAGUUAAAUUAAUCCCUAAUUAUAGGGGUACGAUGAACUUCUUCCAAGUUCAAUGUGUGAGUAAUCAGUAAUGCAUGUUUUGGCCUCGUACAACUAUCUACCUUCCCGAUACAAAUAAUGCCAUGGUAUCGGUGAGACGCGUCUACAUGAAAUUCAUUCGCAUACGCACUUGGAUUGUCUAGUGUACCUUUAAUUUUCUUUAGAAUUUGGAGGUACGGAAAAUACUUGCAUCCGAUUAAUUUGGAUGCGAGCAUUCAAACUCUAUGUUGGGCAAUGUAGUUUCAUGAUCUAACCGCUUAACAUAAAUCAGCCUCUGAUCAUUUGCUCUUUCAAUAAGAUCAAGCCAAUGAACAUUUUGAGUGAAAGUUAGUAAUUCCAUUUCCAUGGCCAACUGUACAUAUAUUUGAUGCUAUUGAACGAGUAAACGGUUUAUGUUUUCUUUAAUUUUUUGCUAGAUGAUCAUAAGGGUCGACUUAAUGUAUGAACUGUUUGAUCAUGAAUUCACAUUGUCCAACAAAUGUAAACAUGAUACAGUUUGGACAUCUUUGGAUGGAAAGCUUUAUCCUUCAAGUUUUGGGGAAGGAAGAAAAUGAUGUUGAGCCUCAUCAUGGGGUUUCGGUAGUAAGCAAAAGUUGAGAAAAUAGCGUUAGGACUUUACACAUACCAGGAAUUUUUUAAUCUUGUGUUGAUAGUGUAGGUUAGAUUUAUGGAUGUUCGUGAACUGUUUGAACAGAGAAAUUCUUAGCUGCAACAGCCGCAUCACCUGGCACAUGCGCACCCAAUCACCCUUUGACACGUUGUUUUUUUUUUUUUUUCUACACUUGCCUUCUUCUUCUUCCUCCUCCUUUCUCCGGUCGGAAACUGAUCCCCUUUGAUCUUCUUUCCCUCUGCCCAGCCGCCGCCUCAAAUCUGCAACCCCCACCGUAAAGGAAGAAGAAGCUUGACCGAAGGAAGAAAAAAUAAGCUUCACCGGAGGAAGGAAGAAAAAGCUUCGCCGGGGAAGAGGAAGGAAGAGGACGCCUCCACCAAUCUGUGUAAAGGAAGAAGCGCUGGAGCAGAGGAAGAAGAAGAACGCAGGUGUGGGGGGGGGAAAAACACGUGUUGCUGUGUGACUGAUGGGUCGCACAGGACACGUGGUGCGUUAGCCGCACCUAAGACUCUCUCGUUUGAACAUGUUGAAUUACUCAGAUAAUAAUUCAAUAUGAAAGCACUAAAGCGCGGCUCGUUAUGUUGAAUGUUUCUCUCUAGAAAAAAAAAUAUAGGCUUAUACUGAUUUUCCCGACUAUGAGUAACAUUGUGUCGUGGAAUUUUGGAAAGUCUUUUUAGAAAGAGUGAAGGAUCUUGUCCUAUGAUUCUUUUGUAAAGGUAACACAAGCGUGAGAGCCUCUACUUAUUCCACAUGUUAUUCGAUAUAGGCUUAUAUUUCUUUACGAGUUAGGUUUUAUUAUCCAUAUAUAUAUAUACAUGAAUCUAAUCAUUUUCACUCACAUAAUAUUUCUGAAUAGAGUAGGAUCACUUCUGUGAUUAUCAAAAGCUAGGUUUCGAAGCUAUUCAAUAUAUUUGUGCAAGUGUGUUAUUUCUAGAACGUAAACCCAUGCAGGUGGCACAAUUUUUGCUUGGAUUCUCAUCGAUCAUUUAAAGGUAGGAAUCUCUCGCUUUCAUCAUGAGCUUUGCUGUGUUUCAUACAAUCACAGAUACAGAUUCACAUAAUUCUCUAUGAUUGAUAUGUUUACCCGUAAUGUCUUCCUGAUGAUUAUUAUACAUCGAUCAAUUACCAAACCAAACUCUUCUUGUAUAUAAUUAACGUAGGCCAUCUAUAAUUUCUUUUCUUGUAAGACUACGUAACCUACUAUUAUAAUAAGGAUAUGCGUAUCCUAAGGAUAUGCAUCUGCUGAAAUAUAUAUAUAAACACUGUCAUGAACUUUUUUUCUUUUUCUUUUUUUGAGAACAUCCAUGUAACAUUACUCAACACAUAAGUAUAUAAAAACUAUAUGAUUAUCAAGGCAAUUUAAUUAAGUCUGUAGUGAAGACUAGCUGACACUUGCAAAUCAAACGGUUCAUUAAGCCAGCAUAAAAGAAAUUACAAAAUGCCUAAUAUCACCACAUACUAUUCAUUCCAAAUGAUACAAAACAACAUUUUCAUUCUUAAUUUUUUUUUUUGAUAAUUACUAGACACGGGGAGCUAGCUAGCUAGAUACUACAUGACAGAGCAGGCAUUUGGGUUGUCCUCACUGAACAUUUGAGUAUAGUGGUCAUCCACAGCACUCUCGGUGAUAGUGGCCGUGCUCGGGAGGCUCCUAACCAUAUUUGGAGGUGCUUUCUUGUCGUAGGCUCCGGCAACAUAAGGAUGAGCCACCAGAGUGAAUGGAACAUAAGGCCACAGCUCGCACUUCUUCUUGGUCGAUUGAGCUGCCUUCAACACUUUCUUUGCGUCGACGUAACCAGUCACCGUUGCCUUCUGCUGCUUCAAGUCGAUAUCCACAGAUUUAGCCCCUUUGAUCAUCCACCAAAUUAAUUGAAAAACGAUCAGUAUAAGGUCACAGAGAUCAUUAUCAUAGAACGACCAUACAUGCAUAUUCCAAAUCUGGUUCAAGAAAUGGAAAUGGGUCAUAUAUAGUACCUUUUACACCGGAGAGGACCUUCUUCACCUUGCGACCACAACCAUCGCAGUCCAUCCUAAUCUUUACGGCUACGGUCUGUAUUUGCUUCUUCUUCUUCUUGCUUUUGACACUGUUUAGCAGGUCUGACAAGUACUCCAAGGUUCCUUGAACUCCCAUCUUUUCUAGUUAGUUUCCUUGAAAAAUCAAAGUGCGGGCAGAAAAGUAGCUCGCUAUAUGAGCAGCAAUUAAGCUUCCUUUGUUACAAGCGGAGAGCUAGAGAAGAAGAGGUCUGAUCGAUUCUUGUUAAAAACGAGAGAGACAAGCGCUAGAUUCUGGGGAUAGCUACAGCUCGAGUCUCUGAUAUCUUUGAAAAGCUCUAGACUGAUAAUUCAUGUACGUAUUGAACAAAUCAAAGUGCAGAAAGAGUUGAAGAUACAUGCAUUAACCAAAGAAUAGGGUUGAGGGUGGAAGAUAUGUACGUAUGGAAGCAAGAGAGAAAGAGGUGUUCUGAGUCUGUUGAAAAUAGAUAGAUUGUGGGAGGUAGCUAGAACACAAAUCUUGGUCUUGAACUACUCUGGCUUGCUGACUUCUGUACGUGAUUUAUAGGGAGAUCCAACACCUGGCUCGUAAAAAUAAAAUAAUAAAUUAGAUAAAAUAAUCAAUUAUUGAAAGGUACCCUAUCCUUCAUGGUGCCCUAGAAACUGGGGGAAGCUUUCCCACUCCCCAUAUAUACUUGAUCUAGCUGAUCGUUAGUCUUUGAGAUUCGACCUCUUAAUGGAAAGGCAGUGAACCCCGGCCCUAAAGAAAAGGUAUCAAAGUUCCUUUAGUAUAUACCCUUCUAAAGAUGGUUCCAAGUAAUCCUAGUUUUCACGCCAUGAUACUAAUGCGGUAAUACUAUUAGUACUAGACUCGCCAAAUUUGAUUCACUAACUAAAUAAGAUGUUAUCGAUCUGGUGGAAGCUAGGGUAAGAUAUUACAUAUUUCUAUGAAGGUCCAUUGACAUCUUUCAAUUCUCUUACAAAAAUUCUCUCCGAAAAAUGGUUAUAUAAAAGAUCAUAUACAUUUAACAGUAUGACGGUCGUAAUCACUGUUUCAAGUUUAUCCGAUAUGUGUUCACUAUAUAUAAUAAAUGAGAUAUAGCGAUUGAGGGUAGGCUAGCUAAGAUCGAAUGAGCUAGGACCUUAACUAUUUGUUAAUAAAGAUUAACAUACACUACCCAGAACCCAAAUGUGUUAGGUGUUGAAAAAGAGAGGGAGAGAGAUCAAGGCAUUGGGUACACGAAAGGGGCAAGACAUUAAGUAAACAAGGUACAGUUGAGCUUUGACAGUAACGCUUUGAUCAAAAGAAUACGUUGACAGGCUUACGUUUCAUAAUCCUCUGCAUGAGACCCGGGGGAUGGUGGACAUCAAUGGCUGGUGAUAAUCCACGUUACAGAAGAACCUGGGAUCUGGCAUGGUUGUGGAUUCGGUUUGUUCAGAAGCAAUUGUCCAUUUGUGAGAUCUGGGCGAGUGAUUAAUGGGGUAUGUUUGGACGGUGCGACUGUACAAAAAGAGUGGAUAAACUAGAAUAUGCACUUAAACAAUGGAAGCUGGAGUGCUUGACUAUGACUGCGAGAGUGUGAUCAGUUGAAAAAGUUGGGCAACAAAUUAAACUUUCAUCUUCGAUUAUAUAUGGGAGGAAUUGAGUAAAAAACUAAGGUUUUCUUAAUUUCAGGAAAACCUCAUCACUCCUAUGCCCAGGGAGAUCUCUAGGGAUUGGAUAAUACAUGUUCUUCUUGUACUAAACAAAGAUGGUCGGUUGCUCUUUGAAAGUCCAGAUAAAGUGGAAACUCCAGGCUAGGGGAAUGAAUUCAGUCAAAUACAUGGUCGACUUCGAUCUUCCAUAAUUGUUUUAUGAAACAAGUAGAAGUGUAUAAAUAUAUAUCGGUGAGAGUAUAAAUAUAUAUACAGCCCCCUUCCAUUGAGGGAUCCCUAUUUUUGGCUAUUUUCUAGGGAUAGGGCAUUACACCACUUCCUAAUUGAAUUUUUACAUCUCCACUGUUCAUAUCUUAGGUCUAUAUGAGUAGAUCACCUCUACAAAAUUUCAUAUGAUUUGGUGAUCGUUAAGGCUUUCAAAAGUUUGAUUUAGUUUUAAUGAUCUUGAACGGUCCAGCUUAUGUCAAACUAAAACCGUUAAAGGUCAU